UACGUAGGGGGCUAGCGUUGUCCGGAAUCAUUGGGCGUAAAGCGCGUGUAGGCGGCCCGGUAAGUCCGCUGUGAAAGUCGGGGGGCUCAACCCUCGGAUGCCGGUGGAUACUGUCGGGCUUGAGUACGGAAGAGGCGAGUGGAAUUCCUGGUGUAGCGGUGAAAUGCGCAGAUAGUCGGAAGGAACACCUAUGGCGAAGGCAGCUCGCUGGGACGUUACUGACGCUGAGACGCGAAAGCGUGGGGGAGCAAACAGGAUUAAGAUACC
rnacentral:rRNA from 1 species